AUGAAAUGGAGCUGGAUGAUCCUCUUGCUGGUGGCAGUAUCUACAGGUGUCCACUCCCAGGUCCAGCUGCAGCAGCUUGGGGCUGAGCUGGUGAGACCUGGGGCCUCAGUGAAACUGUCCAGCAAGGCUUCUGGCUUCACCUUCCCUGACUACUAUAUGCACUUGGUCAAGCAGAGGCCUGGACAGGGUCUGGAGUGGACUGGAUGGAUUUAUACUUCAAGUGGUAAUACUGGCUAUGCACAGAAGUUCCAGGACAAGGCCAAGCUGACUGUAGAUAAGACCUCGAGCACAGCUUACAUGAAUCUGAGCAGCCUCACAUUUGAGGACUUUGAAGUCUAUUACUGUGCAAGACACAGUAUAGCAAUUCACAUCCUGAAUGUGUCAGAAACCCUGGAGAGACAGGAACCUGCCUUAGGACUGAAAUAUCAGAUAUUUUAG